GACGAACGCUGGCGGCGUGCUUAACACAUGCAAGUCGAACGGAAAGGCUCCAGCUUGCUGGAGUACUCGAGUGGCGAACGGGUGAGUAACACGUGGGUAAUCUGCCCUGCACUCUGGGAUAAGCCUGGGAAACUGGGUCUAAUACUGGAUAUGACCUUUCUCCUUAUGGGGUUUGGUGGAAAGUUUUUCGGUGUAGGAUGAGCCCGCGGCCUAUCAGCUUGUUGGUGGGGUGAUGGCCUACCAAGGCGACGACGGGUAGCCGGCCUGAGAGGGUGAUCGGCCACAUUGGGACUGAGAUACGGCCCAGACUCCUACGGGAGGCAGCAGUGGGGAAUAUGGCACAAUGGGCGGAAGCCUGAUGCAGCGACGCCGCGUGAGGGAUGACGGCCUUCGGGUUGUAAACCUCUUUCAGCAGGGACGAAGCGUAAGUGACGGUACCUGCAGAAGAAGCACCGGCUAACUAUGU
rnacentral:rRNA from 1 species